UUCUUAUCAAGAGUGGUGGAGGGACUGGCCCUGUGAAACCCAGCAACCUGUAAUAGGAUUAAAUGAUAAGUCUAAUUUGUAUUAGACAAAAUUUUAUUCUUAUUAAGUUUGGUGCUAAAUCCUGCAGCUUUUUAGCUGAUAGAUGAGAG
rfam:Clostridium sp. 7_2_43FAA genomic scaffold supercont2.3, whole genome shotgun sequence.